GGUUCGGGAUCAAGAACGCUGGCGGCUGCUUUACACAUGCAAGCGAACGGCGUUAUGGGACUUCGGUCUGGUGGCGAGUGGCGAACGGGUAGCAAUGUAUCGAACGAUAGUGGGGAUAACUACGAAAGGUAUUAAUACCGCAUACACCUUCGGGGGAAAGCGGGGACCUUCGCCUUCGCACCAGAUGGCCGUAUUAAUGGAUUAGCUAGUGGGGUAACGGCCUGCCACCAAUGCGACGAUCCGUGGCUGGUUUGAGGACGACCAGCCACACUGGGACUGGGCAUUUGGCCCAGACUCUACGGGAGGCAGCAGUGGGGAAUUUUGGACAAUGGGAACCCUGAUCCAGCCAUCCUGGGCGUGUGCGAUGAAGGCCUUUGGGUUGUAAAGCACUUUUGGCAGGAAAGAACGGCACGGGAUAAUACCGUGCAACUGACGGUACCUGCAGAAUAACAAGCACCGGCUACGUGCCAGCAGCCGCGGUACGUAGGGUGCAAGGCAGCGUUAAUCGGAAUUAGCCGGCGCAGCAGGCGGUUCGGAAAGAAAGAUGUGAAAUCCCAGAGCUUAACUUUGGAACUGCAUUUUAAUGAGCUAGAGUGUGUCAGAGGGAGGUGGAAUUCCGCGUAGCAGGGAAUGCGUAGAUAUGCGAGGAACGAUGGCGAAGGCAGCCUCUUCCUGGGAGGAUAACACUGACGCUCAUGACGAAAGCGUGUAUGGCAACAGGAGAUUAGACACCCUGGUAGUCCACGCCCUGCUCUAAACGAUGUCAACUACGUUGGGGCCUUCGGGCCUUGCAUAGCUAACGGUGAAGUUGACCGCCUGGGGAGUACGGCUGCAAGAUUGGGAACCGUGCUGAAUUGACGGGGACCUGCAAGCGGUGGAUGAUGUGGAUACACUGAGGUAACGCGAAAAACCUUACCUGCUUACCCGACAUGUCUGAAUCCCGAAAAAGACGCAGAGUGCCUGCAUCCGGAACACAGGUGCUGCAUGGCUGACGUCAGCUCGUGUCAAAUGUGAGAUGCUGUUGUCUCGCAACGAGCAAACCCUUGUCAUUAGUUGCUACGUAGGCGCACCGAGAGAGAUCGCCGGUGAACCGAGGAAGGUGGGGAUGACGCUAAGUCCGUUCCAGGUAGGGCUUCAUCGUCAUACAGCAAUGGUCGGGACAGAGGCCGCUGCCGUCCGCGAGGGGGAGCUAAUCCCAGAAACCGAUCGUAGUCCGGACGUAUGUCUGCGGUAACGCUGACUGCGUGAAGUCGGAAUCGCUAGUAAUCGCGGAUCGGUCAGCGCCAAACGGUGGUGAAUACGUUCCCGGGGUCUUGUACACACUGCCUGUCACACCAUGGGAGUGGGUUUUACCAUAGUUAGCCUAACCGUAAGUGAGGGCGAUACUACCUAGGAUUCAUGACUGGGGUACAACAAGGCA
rnacentral:rRNA from 1 species